CCUACGGGGAGCAGCAGUGAGGAAUAUUGGUCAAUGGCCGGAAGGCUGAACCAGCCAUGCAGCGUGAAGGUCAGUGCCCUAUGGGCGUUAAACUUCUUUUGUGCGGGAGCAAUAAUGGUCACGUGUGGCCAGACGAGAGUACCGUACGAAUAAGCAUCGGCUAACUCCGUGCCAGCAGCCGCGGUAAUACUGGGGAUGCAAGCGUUAUCCGGAUUUAUUGGGGUUAAAGGGUGCGUAGGCUGUGAGGUAAGUCAGCGGUGAAAUGCCCCCGCUCAACGGGGUGAAGUGCCAUUGAUACUGCCUUGCUGGAAUGCGGAUGCCGUGGGAGGAAUGUGUGGUGUAGCGGUGAAAUGCAUAGAUAUCACACAGAACACCGAUUGCGAAGGCAUCUCACGAAUCCGCGAUUGACGCUGAUGCACGAAAGCGUGGGUAUCAAACAGGAUUAGAUACCCGUGUAGUC
rnacentral:rRNA from 1 species